CAGUCGCCGCGGUAAUACGUAGGUGGCAAGCGUUGUCCGGAGUUAUUGGGCGUAAAGGGCUCGCAGGCGGUUUCUUAAGUCUGAUGUGAAAGCCCCCGGCUCAACCGGGGAGGGUCAUUGGAAACUGGGAAACUUGAGUGCAGAAGAGGAGAGUGGAAUUCCACGUGUAGCGGUGAAAUGCGUAGAGAUGUGGAGGAACACCAGUGGCGAAGGCGACUCUCUGGUCUGUAACUGACGCUGAGGAGCGAAAGCGUGGGGAGCGAACAGGAUUAGAUACCCCUGUAGUCCCUGUCUCUUAUAA
rnacentral:rRNA from 1 species